CUGUGAUAUUUCUUUUUAGGUAUGGAGUUAGAAGGUAACCUUGACAUAUUAUAUUAUGGAAGAUUUCAAGUGUAUACAAAAUAGGCAAGAUGGAGUGUGGAUGUCUGUGUGCUCCCCCCAGCUUCAACUGUCAGCCACUCAUGGCCAAUUUGGUUUCAUCUACAUCCUCUCUGACCUCCUCUUUCUCAUAUUAUUAUUAUUAUUAAAGCAAAGAGAUUUCUUCUUCCCCUACAACCUCACACUCCAUUCAAGAACUGUAGGUAAAAGCAUUCUUAAUGUUCUUUUAAAAACUUAGUCAUAAGUACUAGAAAGGAUAGCUUAGUACUUUAGAGUAAAGGACUGUUGUGUGAAUGAGUUAUUCUCUGACAGGAACUAGCAGGUAAAUGAGAUUUUAUUUCUCAAGAUUUUCAUGUGAUGGUGACCAACUACAUUGCAAAAGAAUGGUCACAUUCCAGAGCCGUAACCAGUUCUGGAGGCUUAGUUAUGCAAUCCCCAGCCCUGUCAUCUACCAGGAUGUGACCUUUUGGAAAAGGAAGGGGUCUGCAUGUGGCAGGUCUCGAUUUUUGUGUUCCGUCAUGUGAUCACCUACAGACCUUUUGACUUCUGGGAAUUCUAUAAUAUUGUAAUAAGCCCUGCUUUAAGAUUCCAUCCUAGGGUUGUAGAGUGCAUCUUGCAAGUCAGAAUCUACUUAUAAGCAAAGAAUUUUAAAAGCACAGGAAAUCAGAACCACUUGGGGAAUUAAUAAUUAUUAUUAUUUUUAGUUUUCAUAAUUUUACAAUUCUGGCUCUCAUAUGGUACAAACACCCCCCAAAAAAAAACACUAAAGAUGUUUAACACUAUCGGUUAUUUUUAUUUAUGUAGACUUUUUCUUCCUUCAAGUCUUAUGGAGUUUUUAAAUUUUCAAC
rnacentral:lncRNA from 1 species